GUACCCACAAUUACUUGGAUAACUGUGGUAAUUCUAGAGCUAAUACAUGCAAACAGAGCUCCGACCGGAGACGGAAGGAGUGCUUUUAUUAGAUCAAAACCAAUCGGUGGCGAGUUCGCGCUCGUCAUCGUACAACUUGGUGACUCUGAAUAACUUUACGCUGAUCGCACGGUCUCGCACCGGCGACGCAUCUUUCAAAUGUCUGCCUUAUCAACUGUCGAUGGUAGGUUCUGCGCCUACCAUGGUUGUAACGGGUAACGGGGAAUCAGGGUUCGAUUCCGGAGAGGGAGCCUGAGAAACGGCUACCACAUCCAAGGAAGGCAGCAGGCGCGCAAAUUACCCACUCCCGGCACGGGGAGGUAGUGACGAAAAAUAACGAUACGGG
rnacentral:rRNA from 1 species